UGAGGGGUUUCCGGACAAUAUUAAAUCCUAGUUGGUGGGACAAUGGGGUGAGGAUAAUGAAGUCUAGAUAUUUGAUAGAACUGAAGCAAGGGGACGAUUUUUUCUGUUAAAAAAAAAAAGAGGCCAAAGGUGAUUCCCUCGGGCGUCCGCAAAGAACGACAGCAGUCCGCCAACAAAGGAUGGAGACAACGGGAAAGUGGGGACUGAGUGGGUUUGUGUUAGCGGAAAGCAGCCACUCGAGCGGUGGGCAUGGAGUUU
rnacentral:lncRNA from 1 species